ACACCGUUGGUGAAAUUGGUUAUCUUGCUUGCCUUCAAUAUUUGGCUUUGAUCAGCGGCCCAGUUUCGAUUCCCGAACGGUGUA